rnacentral:rRNA from 1 species
UACGGAGGGUGCGAGCGUUGUCCGGAAUCACUGGGCGUAAAGGGCGCGUAGGCGGCUUGGUAAGGGGGCGGUGAAAGCCCGGGGCUCAACCCCGGGUCUGCCGGACCGACUGCCGAGCUUGAGCACACUAGGGGCAGGUGGAAUUCCGGGUGUAGCGGUGGAAUGCGUAGAGAUCAGGAAGAACACCCGUGGCGAAGGCGGCCCACUGGGCCGGUACUGACGCUGAGGCGCGAAGGCGUGGGGAGCGAACGGG